rnacentral:rRNA from 1 species
CUACGGGGGGCUCCAGUGGGAAUCUUCCGCAAUGGGCGCAAGCCUGACGGAGCAACGCCGCGUGAGUGAAGAAGGCCUUCGGGUCGUAAAGCUCUGUCUUUAGGGAAGAAAAACUAUGGUGAAAAUAUUGCCAUAGUCUGACGGUACCUGAGGAGGAAGCUCCGGCUAACUACGUGCCAGCAGCCGCGGUAAUACGUAGGGAGCGAGCGUUGUCCGGAAUUACUGGGCGUAAAGGGCGUGUAGGCGGGAAUUUAAGUAAGGUGUGAAAACUCCGGGCUCAACUUGGAGACUGCACUUUAAACUGGAUUUCUUGAGGGCAGGAGAGGAAAGUGGAAUUCCUAGUGUAGCGGUGAAAUGCGUAGAUAUUAGGAGGAACAUCAGUGGCGAAGGCGACUUUCUGGACUGCACCUGACGCUGAGGCGCGAAAGCAUGGGUAGCGAACAGGAUUAGAUACCCGUGUAGUC